GAUGAAGAACGCAGCGAAAUGCGAUAAGUAAUGUGAAUUGCAGAAUUCAGUGAAUCAUCGAAUCUUUGAACGCACCUUGCGCUCCUUGGUAUUCCGAGGAGCAUGCCUGUUUGAGUGUCAUUAAAUUCUCAACCUCACCAGUUUUCUGAACUGAGCGAGGCUUGGAUGUGGGGGUUUGUGCAGGCUGCCUCACGGCGGUCUGCUCCCCUGAAAUGCAUUAGCGAGGUUCAUGCUGAACUUCCGUCUAUUGGUGUGAUAAUUAUCUACGCCGUAGACGAGGAUCAGACUCGCUUCUAACCGUCCGCGAGGACAAUACCUUGACAAUUUGACCUCAAAUCAGGUAGGACUACCCGCUGAACUUAAGCAUAUCAAUAAGCGGAGGA
rnacentral:misc_RNA from 1 species